rnacentral:rRNA from 2 species
CGAGCGGACAGAUGGGAGCUUGCUCCCUGAUGUUAGCGGCGGACGGGUGAGUAACACGUGGGUAACCUGCCUGUAAGACUGGGAUAACUCCGGGAAACCGGGGCUAAUACCGGAUGGUUGUUUGAACCGCAUGGUUCAAACAUAAAAGGUGGCUUCGGCUACCACUUACAGAUGGACCCGCGGCGCAUUAGCUAGUUGGUGAGGUAAUGGCUCACCAAGGCAACGAUGCGUAGCCGACCUGAGAGGGUGAUCGGCCACACUGGGACUGAGACACGGCCCAGACUCCUACGGGAGGCAGCAGUAGGGAAUCUUCCGCAAUGGACGAAAGUCUGACGGAGCAACGCCGCGUGAGUGAUGAAGGUUUUCGGAUCGUAAAGCUCUGUUGUUAGGGAAGAACAAGUACCGUUCGAAUAGGGCGGUACCUUGACGGUACCUAACCAGAAAGCCACGGCUAACUACGUGCCAGCAGCCGCGGUAAUACGUAGGUGGCAAGCGUUGUCCGGAAUUAUUGGGCGUAAAGGGCUCGCAGGCGGUUUCUUAAGUCUGAUGUGAAAGCCCCCGGCUCAACCGGGGAGGGUCAUUGGAAACUGGGGAACUUGAGUGCAGAAGAGGAGAGUGGAAUUCCACGUGUAGCGGUGAAAUGCGUAGAGAUGUGGAGGAACACCAGUGGCGAAGGCGACUCUCUGGUCUGUAACUGACGCUGAGGAGCGAAAGCGUGGGGAGCGAACAGGAUUAGAUACCCUGGUAGUCCACGCCGUAAACGAUGAGUGCUAAGUGUUAGGGGGUUUCCGCCCCUUAGUGCUGCAGCUAACGCAUUAAGCACUCCGCCUGGGGAGUACGGUCGCAAGACUGAAACUCAAAGGAAUUGACGGGGGCCCGCACAAGCGGUGGAGCAUGUGGUUUAAU